GAUGAACGCUGGCUACAGGCUUAACACAUGCAAGUCGUGGGGAAACGGCAUUAUGUGCUUGCACAUUCUGGACGUCGACCGGCGCACGGGUGAGUAUCGCGUAUCCAACCUGCCCCUUACUUGGGGAUACCCCGUUGAAAGACGGCCUAAUACCCGAUGUGUUUCAUUGACGGCAUCCGAUAUGAAACAAAGGUUUUCCGGUAAGGGAUGGGGAUGCGUCUGAUUAGCUAGUUGGCGGGGCAACGGCCCACCAAGGCGACGAUCAGUAGGGGUUCUGAGAGGAAGGUCCCCCACAUUGGAACUGAGACACGGUCCAAACUCCUACGGGAGGCAGCAGUGAGGAAUAUUGGUCAAUGGACGCAAGUCUGAACCAGCCAAGUAGCGUGCAGGAUGACGGCCCUAUGGGUUGUAAACUGCUUUUAUGUGGGAAUAAAGUGGCGCACGUGUGCACCAUUGCA
rnacentral:rRNA from 1 species